rnacentral:rRNA from 1 species
GACGAACGCUUUCGGCUUUCUUAACACCUUCAUUUCGAACUUAAAGGCCCUGCUGUUGGGGGGUGCGCGAGUGGCGAACGGGUGAGUAACACGUGAGUGACCUGCUCUUGACUUUGGGAUAACUUCAGGAAACUGGGGCUAAUACCGGAUAGGAGCUCCGGCUGCAUGGUGGGGGUUGGAAAGUUUCGGCGGUUGGGGAUGGACGCGCGGCUGAGGAGCUUGUUGGUGGGGUAGUGGCUUACCAAGGCUUUGCCGUCUAGCCGGCCUGAGAGGGUGACCGGCAACAUUGGCAAUGGGAUACGGCCCAGACUCCUACGGGAGCAAGCAGUGGGAAAUAUUGGACACUGGGCGGAAGGUUGAGGGAACGACGCCGCGUGCGAGAGGAAGGAAGUCGGGUUGUAAACCGCUUUCGCCUGUGAAGAAGCGCAAGUGACUGUAAUGGGCAAAGAAGAAAAGGAGAACUACGG